rnacentral:rRNA from 1 species
UACGGAGGGUCCAAGCGUUAUCCGGAAUCAUUGGGGUUAAAGGGUCCGUAGGCGGUUUUGUAAGUCAGUGGUGAAAGCCCAUCGCUCAACGGUGGAACGGCCAUUGAUACUGCAAGACUUGAAUUAUUGGGAAGCAACUAGAAUAUGUAGUGUAGCGGUGAAAUGCUUAGAGAUUACAUGGAAUACCAAUUGCGAAGGCAGGUUGCUACCAAUACAUUGACGCUGAUGGACGAAAGCGUGGGGAGCGAACAGG